AACGUAGGUCACAAGCGUUGUUCGGAAUUACUGGGCGUAAAGCGCGCGUAGGCGGUCCGAUAAGUCCCGUGUGAAAUCCCUCGGCUCAACUGAGGAAUGGCACGGGAAACUGUCGGGCUUGAGUUCGGGAGAGGGAAGCGGGAUUCCGGGUGUAGCGGUGAAAUGCGUAGAUAUCCGGAGGAACACCGGUGGCGAAGGCGGCUUCCUGGACCGACACUGACGCUGAGGCGCGAAAGCUAGGGGAGCAAACGGG
rnacentral:rRNA from 1 species